AUUGAACGCUGGCGGCAGGCCUAACACAUGCAAGUCGAGCGAGCGGCGGACGGGUGAGUAAUGUCUGGGAAUCUGCCCGAUGGAGGGGGAUAACUACUGGAAACGGUAGCUAAUACCGCAUACCAUCGGAUGUACCCAUAUGGGAUUAGCUAGUAGGUGGGGUAAUGGCUCACCUAGGCGACGAUCCCUAGCUGGUCUGAGAGGAUGACCAGCCACACUGGGACUGAGACACGGUCCAGACUCCUACGGGAGGCAGCAGUGGGGAAUAUUGCACAAUGGGCGCAAGCCUGAUGCAGCCAUGCCGCGUGUAUGAAGAAGGCCUUAGGGUUGUAAAGCACUUUCAGCGAGGAGGCGUUACUCGCAGAAGAAGCACCGGCUAACUCCGUGCCAGCAGCCGCGGUAAUAC
rnacentral:rRNA from 1 species